rnacentral:rRNA from 1 species
AACGAACGCUGGCGGCAUGCCUAACACAUGCAAGUUGAGCGACUAACCAGGCUUCGGCCUGGGGCGAAGCAGCGAACGGGUGAGUAACACGUGGGUAACCUACCCCGAUGACCGGGACGAACCCGACGGAAACGUACGGGCGUAAUACCGGAUGUUCUCUACAUACAUCAGUGCGUAGAGCAAAGGAAAGCUUCGGCCUCCGCAUCGGGAGGGGCCCGCGGCCCAUUAGCUUGUUGGUGAGGUAACGGCCACCAAGGC